CCUACGGGAGGCAGCAGUGGGGAAUAUUGCACAAUGGGGGGAACCCUGAUGCAGCGACGCCGCGUGAGUGAAGAAGUAAUUCGUUAUGUAAAGCUCUAUCAGCAGGGAAGAAAAUCACGGUACCUGAGUAAGAUGCCCCGGCUAACUACGUACCAGCAGCCGCGGUCAAACGGAGUGGGCGAGGCGUCUCCGGAUUGACUGGGGGGAAAGUGAGCGUCGACGGCAGGGCAUGUCUGGAGUGAAAGGCGGGGGCUCAACCCCCGGACUGCUAUUGAAACUGUACGGCUGGAGUGCAGGAGAGGUAAGUGGAAUUCCUAGUGUAGCGGUGAAAUGCGUAGAUAGUAGGAGGAACACCAGUGGCGAAGGCGGCUUACUGGACUGUAACUGACGUUGAGGCUCGAAAGCGUGGGGAGCAAACAGGAUUAGAUACCCUGGUAGUC
rnacentral:rRNA from 1 species